AUGCCCGCUGAUUAUGAAAAGACGCGUUAUUCUGAGGAAUAAACCGGCCACCAGUCUUCUACCUUUGCCUCCAUCUUUCUCCUCAAUCUUUCCUCCUCUCUCCCCCUCUCUCUUUCUCCUCUCUGUAAACUGGUGGAUGGUCCGCUGACUGCGAUUAUGAGAUAUGAGGGCAU
rnacentral:snoRNA from 1 species